UUCUCUUCAUGUGGCCGGCCAUAGCAAGAACAAAGAGAGGAAAAGAAAAACAAGAAACCUAGGUGGGAAAAGUAAAGAAAAAGUGUGGGAUUUCAAGGAAUCAAGCAAUCAAAGGUAAAAUUUCUUGAUUUUGACUUGUGAUCUACCUUUCCCAUGCUUUUCUCCUUAUUUUCCAUGGUUAGAUUUCAUGUUUUCAUGGUGAAUUCAUGGCUGCCCAAAUGGGUAUGGAGAGAGAAUGAAGUUAGAUUGAUUUGAUUUUAAGUUAUGUUAGUGUUUUAAGUUAGUUUAGCAUAUUUAGAAACAAAACAACAAGAAAAGAAUUCAUUUUCCCCCAUUACCAUCAUUGGCCGAAUUUCCUAGGAAGAAUAUUGUGGCUGAAUUUGAUGAUAUUUCAUGAUAUUUUGGUGAUAUUUUAUGUUUGGUGAGGCUAGAAAUUAAAUGGGAAAUUUUAGUGCAAAAAUACGAAUUUUUGCUCAACAUAUAGACAUGUGUAUUUAUUGACCCGGGAUCGAUAAAUUGAACCUCAUUCACAGUCACUGAGGUAAUUUAGGUAUAAUUGGAGUGUAGAAAGUGAAAAGAAUUGAUUUGGAGUUAAAUUGAAGAUUUUAGCCGAUUAGACCAAGAAUAGCGCGAAUUAGGUCGAAUACCGUAUUUAAACGGCUAUUCGGACAUUUUUGCAUUUCAUAUCAUGCAUUAGUAGCCUAAAUUAGUUUAAUUUCAAUUUAGUAUCAAUGUGGUGAAUUUCUUAAUUUUGUACUGUGUCAAGGUGGUGAGUCCUCCGAUAAAGGCAAGAAAAUUGCAUCCGAGGACCAGUAGACAGAGUACUUCAAAAGUCUGCAUUCUAGACAUUGUGAGUAAACUUACUAUCAUUUUAAUUAUCUAGGGUGGUUUUUAGAUGAUUUCAUGAAUUCUAUGGAAAAAUGGAUUUAAAAGGUAAAUUUUCAUGUUUUAUGAAUAAAGGUGUUCCAAUGAAAUUAAAUUAUAAAUUGUUUUGAAACUAAUAAUGAUUUUAAAAAAAAUAGAGUGCACGGAGACUUUUAAUUGUGGCAAUUUGAUUGUUUAAAUUGAUGGCUUAUGUUAUAUUGUUAUUGUGUUGGCAUGACUGGCUGGGCUGUGUUUUAUGAAUUGUAUGAAUUGUUUUAGUUUACCCUUGCAGGCUAGGUAGUAUUUCAUUAGCCCUGUCAUGCCCUCAAAAUUUUAUUAUAUGGUGGAUAUAUAUUAAUUAAUCACUGUAGUAAGGGGUUUUUGGGGACCAGGCUUCUAGAAAGGCACAGUAAACCCCAUUAUAUUCUUACCUCGAACGAAGAGGCGCGUAGGGUAUCUCCUGGGGUAAAGUUUAGGGUUCACUUCACACCAAACCACCACGUGAGGGGGAACUCAGCCAACGCCAAGGAAUGGCUAUGUUUCAAAAUUAAAAUAUGAUUUAUGCGAAAUGUGAAUUUUUAACAGCCUUGGCAGUCUCGAUAGGAUGCCUCGGCCACGGUGUCCCUAAAAAUGGAUUUAUGGCACAAGCCUAAUUUUUAUGAGAUUCAUAAGCCUCUUCACGUAUUUUAAAUGAAAUGUAUUCUAAUGUUGUGACCCAGUUUACGAUGAUUUACUUUAUUAUCUCCAUGUACUCAACUCUAGAUGUUUAUGAUGAUGUCUGUUUACUCAUUGGGAUUUUAUGAUCUCACCACCCUCCUUUCCACCCGUUUCAGGUUCAGUAUAAACUGUAGAUAGCUGAUCUCAUUUAGGACUAUCGUUGGAUCUGCAUUUUCCAAACCGCAGGUUCACAACUCUCUUUACUUUUGUUUAUUCGAGGGCCCUCUUGUUAUUGUAAAUUUAAUUAAAUAUUUUGGCUUACUGUAUUACAGUAUGUAUAAAUUUAUUUAACUUUUACGCUAUAAAAAUUAUUUACGUAUAACUCUAAAAAUAUUAUUUUAUAAGAAAAUAGAAUAUUUUAUUUAACAUUUCUUUUAUUUUCUUAGUAUAUCCAAAUAAUCAAAAUUUCAUUUUAAAUGAAGAUUUUAGACUUUAAAACUCACUUUUGAUUAUGAAUUAUGUGUUUUGUAACUGUAAAUUACAUUUUAGCCGGUUUCGAAAUUUUUUGGGAAAAUUGACUAAAAUACCCCAGUAAAACGAAAAUUAUUAUUUUAUUUGUUUUGAGUUGAAAAUAGCUUAAAAUCUUUUAGAACAUGAUUUUCGGCAACGGUUGCUCACGAGGGAAAUGAGAUACUGAUAUUAAGCGUUGCAAGGUCCCGAUUGGCAUUCCGGGAAAUGAGUGUCUAUCGGGGUACCAUGGCGGUUGUCACGGACUCGAGGGGAGUACCGGGUCGUGACAAUUCGAUUGGUAUCAGAACUUUUGGUUUUAAAGAAAAGAGUUUUUGGUUUUAAAGUGGUUUUAAAAAUUUACAAUAUUAGUGUGGCCCCGGAUUAAGUUAGGUUAGGUUGAAUAGAAUGCAUGCAUCUGCAUAUAGAGCCUAAGGUUGCCUAAACUUACUCAUAUUCUUUUAUAGAUUAUAAUGCCUCCUCGACGCGGAAGCCCACCUCUCACUAGAUCGGUUGGGAGGGGAAGAGGUCGUUCCCAACGUCAUCAGCCAGAUACAGUAGAGGAGGAAUCGGCUGCAUCCACCAUUCGGGCAGCACCCGCUGCUAAGUAGGCCAAUAGUCCUCCACAUCCUCCAUCUCCUCAGCCACCCACUAGUAUUCCUACCAUGCCUACUGAGGCAGCACAAGCAUUGGCAGUUUUCUUUACCGCAAUAGCUGGUCAAGCUCAGACUGGUCAAGUUCCACCUAUAAUUCCUCUAGCUACUUCUUCAAUUCAGCCAGUACAGGAUGUAUCCAUUUCCAAGAAGCUGAAAAAGGCUAGACAAUUAGGUUAUGUGUCUUUCACGGGUGAGUUGGAUGCCACUGUGGCAAAGGACUGGAUUAAUUAGGUUUCAGAGACUCUCUUUGAUAUGAGAUUAGAUGAUGACAUGAAGCUGAUGGUGGCUACGAGAUUAUUAGAAAAAAGGGCUCGUACCUAGUGGAAUUCGGUGAAGUCUCAUUCCACUACUCCGUAGACAUGGUCUGACUUCCUCAAAGAAUUUGAUGGUCAGUAUUUCACUUACUUUCAUCAGAAAGAAAAGAAAAGAGAAGUUCUGAGCUUGAAACAAGGAAAUCUAACUAUAGAGGAGUACAAGACUCGUUUUAACAAGUUUAUGUUAUAUGUGUCGGAUCUAGUGAAAUUUGAGCAAGAUCAAGCCAGUUAUUUCAAGGAAGGGCUCCGUAAUGAGAUUAGAGAGCGGAUGGCAGUGACUGGUAGGGAGCCACAUAAGGAUGUGGUACAUAUGGCUUUAGGGGCUGAGAAGCUCUCGAUUGAGAAUAAGAGGAUUCAGACUGAGUUUGCAAAAAAAAAGAAUCCUAGUGUAUCUUCUAGUUAACCACCAAAGAAAGGCAAGGGCUCAGCGACUUCAGGGAGCACUACUUCUGUUUCAGUGACAUCUCCUCGACCUCCAUUUCCACAAUCACAACAGAGACCUUCUAGGUUUAGCAGAUCUGCUAUGACUAAUUCUGGAAAGAGUUUUGGAGGUUUUGACAGAUGCAGAAAUUGUGGGAAUUAUCAUGUUGGGCUAUGUAAGGGGCGUGCACUAUGUUUUCAUUAUGGUCAGCUGGGUCAUAAUAGGAGUAAUUGCCCACGGUUAGGACGAACCAAUGUAGCUACAUCAUCUCCACCAGCUCGCACUGAUAUGCAGAGGAAAGAUUCUGCUGGGUUACCAUCGAGACAGAGAGUAGCCAUAUGAUCUGGUGUGGAAAGUAAUACCCCAGCACAUCCACCUUCGAGACCACAGACUCGUACUUCGACAAGAGUUUUCGCAGUGACGCAAGAUGAGGCACGAGUCUGACCUGGAGCAGUGACAGGUAUUAUGUAUUUAUUUAAUAAAGAUGCUUAUGUUUUGAUAGAUUCUGGCUCAGAUAGAUCUUAUGUGAGUACGGCAUUUGCAUCAAUUGCUGAUAGAAACCUGUCACCAUUAGAGGGAGAAAUUGUAGUGCAUACCCCUCUAGGAGAAUAGUUGAUUAGAAAUACUUGUUAUAAAGAUUGUGGGGUAAGGGUAGGUGAGGAAGAAUUUAUGGGUGACUUAAUUCCUCUAGAGAUCUUGGAUUUUGAUUUAAUAUUAGGUAUGGACCGGUUAACUGCACAUCGGAAGAAUGUGGAUUGUUUCUGAAAAGAAGUUAUUCUUCGAAAUUCAGAGGGAGCACAGAUUGUGUUUGUAGGGGAACAUCGAGUAUUACCGGCUUGUGUAAUCUUGGCCAUCAAAGCUUUGAAAUUAGUGCAAAAAGGGUAUCCGACUUAUUUGGCACACGUGAUUGAUACUUCAAAGGGGGAACCUAAGUUAGAGGAUGUCCCAAUAGUAAGUGAGUUUUCUGAUGUAUUUCCUGAUGAGUUACCGAGACUACCUCCUGAUCAAGUGCUUGAGUUCCCUAUUGAUUUACUUUCGGGUACCACACCUAUUUCUAUCCCUCCAUAUAGAAUGGCUCCGGUAGAGUUGAAGGAACUGAAAGUUCAGUUGCAAGAUUUAAUGGAUAAUGGUUUCAUUCGCCCUAGCAUUUCUCCUUGGGGAGCACCAGUCCUAUUUGUUAAAAAGAAAGAUGGCAUUCGAUUACUGUCAACUGAACCGAGUGACCAUUAAGAAUAAAUACCCUUUACCCCAGAUCGAUGAUCUUUUUGAUCAAUUACGAGGUGCUAUAGUGUUCUCUAAGAUUGAUUUGAGAUCUAGGUAUUAUCAGUUGAAGAUUAAGGAGCAGGAUGUACCCAAUACUGCCUUCAGGAAGCGUUAUGGGCAUUUUGAGUUUCUAGUGAUGCCGUUUGGUUUGACCAAUGCCCCGACAGUUUUUAUGGAUCUUAUGAACAAGGUGUUUCAUCCAUACUUGGAUAAGUUUGUGAUAGUGUUCAUAGAUGACAUCCUGGUUUAUUCGAAGAAUGAUGAUGAACAUGUUGCCCAUUUGGGCAUUGUGUUGCAAACUUUGCACGAGAGACAACUCUAUGUCAAGUUCUCUAAAUGUGAGUUCUGGUUAAAGGAAGUGAUUUUCUUGGGACAUGUGGUGUCCGGAGCUAGAAUUUAUGUCAAUCCCAAGAAGAUUGAGGCAAUCUUACAAUGGGAGCAACCGAGAACGGUAACUGAGAUUCGCAGUUUCCUUGGCUUAGCCGGCUAUUAUUAGAGAUUUGUUCAAGGAUUUUCAUUGAUAGCAGCUCCUUUGACUCGUUUGACUCGUAAAGGAGUUAAGUUUGAGUGGGAUGAUGUUUGUGAGAAUCGAUUUCAGGAGCUAAAGAACCGAUUGACCUCCGCUCCCGUUUUAACACUUCCUAUUAAUGGAAAAGAAUUUGUGGUAUACAGUGAUGCAUCUAAGUUGGGAUUAGGGUGCGUAUUGAUGCAGGAUGAAAAAGUAAUAGCUUAUGCUUCCCGGCAAUUAAAGAAGCACGAGACGAAUUACCCUACUCAUGACUUGGAGUUAGCAGCAGUAGUCUUCGCAUUGAAGAUUUGGAGACAUUAUUUAUAUGGUGAGCGUUGUCGGAUUUUUACUGAUCAUAAGAAUUUGAAAUAUUUGCUCACCCAGAAAGAACUUAAUUUGAGACAAAGACAGUGGCUGGAGUUGAUUAAGGAUUACGACUUGGUGAUUAAUUAUCAUCCAGGGAAGGCAAAUGUUGUAGCGGAUGCUUUAAGUCAUAAAUCCUCAUCUUCAUUAGCUGUACUUCAGAGUUCUUAUUUUUCGAUAUUACUUGAGAUCAAAUCUCUAGGGAUCCAGUUGAAUAAUGGUGAGGAUGGAACCCUACUUGCUAGUUUCAUUGUGAGACCUUCAUUGUUGAAUCAAAUCAGAGAAUUGCAAAAAUCUGAUGAUUGGUUGAAACAAGAAGUUCAAAAGCUGGAAGAUGGAGAAACUAGUGAGUUUAGACUUAGUGAUAAUGGUACCUUGAUGCUUAGAGACUGAAUUUAUGUCCCUAAGGAUGAUCAGUUGAGAUGAGCUAUUUUAGAGAAAGCUCAUUUUUUCGCCUAUGCUUUACAUCUCGGAAGCACCAAGAUGUAUCAGACUAUUAAGGAAAGUUAUUGGUGGCCAGGUAUGAAAUGAGACAUAGCAAAGUUUGUAGCAAAAUGUCUCACAUGCCAACAGAUCAAGGCGGAGCAUCAAAAAAUCGUCAGGUACUCUUCAGCCUUUAUCGAUUCCUGAAUGGAAGUGGGAACACGUGACUAUGGACUUUGAAUUGGGUUUGCCACGGACACAGAGUGGGAAAGAUGCUAUUUGGGUGAUUGUUGAUAGAUUGACUAAGUCCGCCCAUUUCUUGGCUAUCCAUAGCACGUAUUCUAUUAAAAAACUAGCGAAACUUUAUAUAGAUGAGAUUGUGAGGUUACAUGGAGUUCCAAUUUCUAUUGUGUCAGAUCGAGACCCUCGGUUUACUUCUCGAUUUUGGUCGAAAUUUCAGGAAGCUCUCAGAACAAAAUUGAGAUUUAGUAUUGCCUUUCAUUCGUAAACUGAUGGUCAAUAUGAAAAGACUAUUCAGACCUUGGAGGAUAUGUUACGGGCUUGUGUCAUUGACUUCAUUGGGAGUUAGGACAGACACUUGCCAUUGGUAGAGUUCGUGUAUAAUAACAGUUUUCAACUUAGUAUUGGGAUGGCACCAUACAAGGCUUUGUAUGGAAGAAAGUGUCGAACUCCACUCUGUUGGGAUGAAGUGGGAGAGAGGAAAUUGGUUAAUGUGGAAUGAUUGAUUUGACAAAUGACAAAAUCAAGAUUAUCAGAGAGCGAUUAAAGAUAGCUCAAGAUAGGCAGAAGAGUUAUUCUGAUAAACGAAGGAAAGAUUUGGAGUUUGAAGUUGACAAUAAAGUUUUUCUUAAGGUUUCUCCUUGGAAAGGUAAUAAUUUGAAAAUUCCAAGUAUUAAAUCUUAUUUGAUUAUACUAUUGUGAUAAUUUGUGGUAUUUAUUGGAUAAUGAAAGGUGUGAUUCGAUUCGCGAAGAGGGGAAAGCUCAAUCUGAGAUACAUUGGACCCUUUCGUAUCAUUGAAAGGAUUGGGCCAAUAGCUUACAGACUUGAAUUACCCCCGGAGUUAGAUCGGAUUCAUAAUGUCUUCCACGUCUCGAUGUUGAAAAAGUAUGUUCCCGAUCCCUCUCACAUUCUAGAAACACCUCCCAUUGAGUUGCAUGAAGAUUUGAAGUUCGAGGUGCAGCUUGUACGUAUUCUAGAUCGAAAGGAUCGAGUGCUAAGGAACAAGAGUAUUCCAAUGGUGAAAGUAUUAUGGAAAAAUGCUCGAAUGGAAGAGAUGAUGUGGGAAGUCGAGCGCCAGAUGAGAAACUAAUAUCCACAUCUUUUCUUGGAAUCUGGUAAGUGAAUUUUGAGGUCAAAAUUUUAUUUUAAGGGGGGUAGUGUUGUAAAGUCCGACCUUAUAAAAUACUUGUCAUGACAUACAUGUGAUGGAUAGCAUGUUUGCAUGCUAGGAGAGUCCCGAAAAAUUUACAAAAGUCGGUAUUGUACCUAGAAGAACAACAAAGUUGAUUUAAGCCUCGAACUAGAUCAAAUAGAAAUUUUAAGGUGAAAUUGAGAGUUUUACAGUCCAUGGAUGACUCAAAAUGGUAAUUCGGAGUUUGAAGAUCAAUUUGGAGUCAAACCGAAAUUUUCACUAUCUAGGGGCAAAAUGAUCAUUUGCCACCUGGGGACAAAAUAGGAAUUUUUAGAAAAAAGUUUUUUGGCCCCAUUUGACUUAUUGGAGUAUGAUUAGAGUAUUGGAGUAUGAUUUGAGAUUUAGAAGUGAAAAAAUUAUAAUCUCGGUAUUUUUGUAGCAUAGGGAUAAAAUGGUACUUUUGCCACCUUAAGGGCAAAUUUGUAAUUUUACACACCCAACACUUGUCCAACACAUGGAUUUUAUCCAAUAUUAUCAUGGAUAAUUGAAGGAAUUUAAGUGGUGGAGAGAGAAAGCUUAAUAGUUAAGAAAUUAAAAAUGGACCAAUGGGAUGGUGACAUGUGUCAAGUUAAUAUCCAUUUAUUUUUUUAGCUUUAAAAUCAGCAAAAAUCAGCUUAUUUUCUCUUCAUGUGGCCGGCCAUAGCAAGAACAAAGAGAGGAAAAGAAAAACAAGAAACCUAGGUGGGAAAAUUAAAGAAAAAGUGUGGGAUUUCAAGGAAUCAAGCAAUCAAAGGUAAAAUUUCUUGAUUUUGACUUGUGAUCUACCUUUCCCAUGCUUUUCUCCUUAUUUUCCAUGGUUAGAUUUCAUGUUUUCAUGGUGAAUUCAUGGCUGCCCAAAUGGGUAUGGAGAGAGAAUGAAGUUAGAUUGAUUUGAUUUUAAGUUAUGUUAGUGUUUUAAGUUAGUUUAGCAUAUUUAGAAACAAAACAACAAGAAAAGAAUUCAUUUUCCCCCAUUACCAUCAUUGGCCGAAUUUCCUAGGGAGAAUAUUGUGGCUGAAUUUGAUGAUAUUUCAUGAUAUUUUGGUGAUAUUUGAUGUUUGGUGAGGCUAGAAAUUAAAUGGGAAAUUUUAGUGUGAAAAUACGAAUUUUUGCUCAACAUAUAGACAUGUGUAAU
rnacentral:lncRNA from 1 species